UACGUAGGGGGCAAGCGUUGUCCGGAUUUAUUGGGCGUAAAGAGCGUGUAGGCGGUUUGGUAGGUCCGUUGUGAAAACUCGAGGCUCAACCUCGAGACGCCGAUGGAAACCAUCAGACUAGAGUCCGGAAGAGGAGAGUGGAAUUCCUGGUGUAGCGGUGAAAUGCGUAGAUAUCUGGGGAACACCGGUGGCGAAGGCGGCGUCCUGGACCAAUACUGACACUGAGGAGCGAAAGCCAGGGAGCAAACGGG
rnacentral:rRNA from 1 species